rnacentral:rRNA from 1 species
GACGAACGCUGGCGGCGUGCUUAACACAUGCAAGUCGAACGGAUCGGCAGUGCUUGCACUGUUUGGUUAGUGGCGAACGGGUGAGUAACACGUGAGUAACCUGCCCUCUUCUUUGGGAUAAGCACCUGAAAGGGUGUCUAAUACUGGAUAUUCUGCUGAAACUGCAUGGUUUUGGUUGGAAAGGGUUUCUGGUGGGGGAUGGGCUCGCGGCUUAUCAGCUUGUUGGUGGGGUAAUGG